rnacentral:rRNA from 1 species
GAUGAACGCUAGCGGCAGGCUUAAUACAUGCAAGUCGAGGGGCAGCACGGUUAGCAAUAACUGGUGGCGACCGGCGCACGGGUGCGUAACACGUAUACAAUCUACCUUAAACAGGGGGAUAGCCUUUCGAAAGAGAGAUUAAUACCCCGUAAUAAAUUGAACGGCAUCGUUUGAUUUUGAAAGCUCCGGCGGUUUGAGAUGAGUAUGCGUCUGAUUAGCUAGUUGGUGAGGUAACGGCUCACCAAGGCGACGAUCAGUAGGGGAUCUGAGAGGACUAACCCCCCACACUGGUACUGAGACACGGACCAGACUCCUACGGGAGGCAGCAGUAAGGAAUAUUGGUCAAUGGAGGCAACUCUGAACCAGCCAUGCCGCGUGCGGGAUGACGGCCCUAUGGGUUGUAAACUGCUUUUAUACAAGAGAAAACCCUGGUACGUGUACCAGGUUGAUAGUAUUGUAAGAAUAAGCAUCGGCUAACUUCGUGCCAGCAGCCGCGGUAAU